UACGGAGGAUGCAAGCGUUAUCCGGAUUUAUUGGGUUUAAAGGGUGCGUAGGCUGUGCGUCAAGUCAGGGGUGAAAUGCCCGGGCUCAACCCGGGAGCUGCCUUUGAUACUGUCGCGCUGGAAUACUGUUGCCGUGGGAGGAAUGAGUAGUGUAGCGGUGAAAUGCAUAGAUAUUACUCAGAACACCGAUUGCGAAGGCAUCUCACGAAGCAGGCAUUGACGCUGAGGCACGAAAGCGUGGGGAU
rnacentral:rRNA from 1 species